rnacentral:rRNA from 1 species
CCCUUAGAUGUUCUGGGCCGCACGCGCGCUACACUGAUGCAUUCAACGAGUCUAAAACCUGCUCUGAUAGGGGUGGGUAAUCUUUUGAAUGUGCAUCGUGAUUGGGAUAGAUGAUUGCAAUUUUUCAUCUUCAACGAGGAAUGCCUAGUAAACGCAAGUCAUCAGCUUGCAUUGAUUACGUCCCUGCCCUUUGUACACACCGCCCGUCGCUCCUACCGAUUGAAUGAUCCGAUGAAUAUCAUGGAUUGAGGAUGCAAGCAGGUUCGCUUGUCUUCAUCUUCGAGAAGUGAAGUAAAUCUUAUCAUUUAGAGGAAGGAGAAGUCGUAACA